UGAGUGUUAGCUCUUCAAAGGACCUCUAAAUUCCCUGAGGACACAGAUUGUCUUAGAUGCCACAACAAAAGGGAGCCACCCCCAUGGAAUUCAUGCUUCUGCCAACAAGAGAAAUAGUCUUUAUCCUGCAUGUCUGUGCACACAGUGAUUUGAACACACAGGAAUUAAUCCUGCAGUCUUCUGCCCUUUUCCCCUUUCCCAUCUUCCAUUAUACCCGGGUUCCAACACUGCCAUAGUAACCAACAGUCACAGAGCACACACGUGUUCUCUUCAUCGAGGAGACUCACAACUCAGAAGCAUUCCUCACAUUACCGGUUCACGACUGAAGACUUUCAGAGCUUAUCUAGCAGGAAACUGUACGGAACAGACUUAGAAAGGCAAGCAGCACUAACAGGACCUCUACUAGGAGGAGACUGAGGAAAGUCUACCUGAAUGCAGAAGAGUCAUUCCCUUCAGAGCCUGCCCUGUGGGCCCUCGAGGGUCAUCGAUCUGCUUCGGACUCUGGCGGACAUCAGAACACUUCGCUGUUGGCACGAUGCCGAGGGCCGGGAAGGAGCUCGAUCCACUUGGCUUCCUCUACUACUAAGACUGACAGAUGCUGGGGAGCAGAAGAUCUGUAUUGUAUACCAUCAAUUGGAAAAGCAAGUAGUUUCAGUAACUCAUCAACGUCACAUAUGCAGAAAGUUUGUUUGAGAUUGGUGAACAAAAUUCAGAUAUACCCAGGUGAUAGAUACGCUGGAAAUCCUGUGGUGAAUGCUGGGAACAAAGAGUCACCUGAACACGAAGCUACACAUCUUUUCUUUAGGCUUUCUAGGUGCCAUUUACCAUCCAGAUACAACUGUUUAAUACAUGAAAGGGAGUGUACGGGACCUAUUAAAAUGAUUCAGAAUUUGCAUAUAGGAGUGUCUAGGUACUGGGGAGGUGCACGGUCAUCAUGUUUAGCAGAGCAACUUGGCUGACUGUUGUCUUUCGUAUGCAGCACUUGGAGUUGUCCUCUUAAGAAUAUUUGUAAAAAAAAAAAUAAGACUGAAUUUCUCAGUUUUGUACUUGAUCUUAGCCAAAAGGCUGAGAAGUGAUUAAAUUUCUCCAUUUUGUACAAUCUUUGUGGAAACUCAUUUAUUUGAGCACAGACAGAGAAGGAGAGAGGAAGCUUUUCACACUUAAGGCAGACAAAAUGGGAACAGUGUAUAUGGGGCCUAUGGGCCUUCAAAGAUAGCAAAAAGUCAAAAUCCAUGCUGUGACUCAUAAUAAAAUCAAUGUGAACUAAUGUAGUGCACCACUUCAGCACGAAGGCUCUCCCAAGCAACUUCACUGAAUUUUCAUUCUACUAAAUGUAGCAAUUAUUGCCAUUUUAAACCACUCUCCUGUAAGAUGUAGACAAAUGGCCGUGGAUUGUUUGGAAAAACCUUAGUGUUCAAUCCAACUUUGGAGAAAGAGUUCGAGGCAAGAGCUCUGCUGGUGGGAAAAGCCAGGUCUGUUUCUGAGAAGGAGAAACCCCAGGCUGCCCUCUCUAUCCCUGUACCAUGGAAUCAGACAGGCAUCGCCCUUGAUCACCAGUCCACUUCAUGAAAACGGACACCUUCCCAGGCUCUCCUUCAGUGUUACGCUGCCCACGGCUGGCUCCUCCACACUGAUUCUUCUAGUGCUAUUUUCAAAGUGAGAGUUGUUUUAUUGUCUUCUGUUCAUCAGAACACUGCACAUCAGUGUGUAUAUACUGAGUGGUUUAUGGCAGAAUUUUACUAUAAAUUGCCUGAACAUGAAAAGCUGCAUACAUGCAAGACCAAGAAUUCAUAGCAUUAAAAUAAUUGGAAAUUAAUCUUCCACGCAAUAACUGGAUAUUUUUCAGUACACAUUGAAUAGAGACUUAAGGACGGCCUUUGAAUCCUGACACCAUCUGUGUAGGAGUUAGAUUUCUAUAAUUUACCAUCUGAAGAGAGCGAUUACCUUGAAAAUAAAUGAAAUAAUAUAAAUACUAUAAAAUAUCUUAUACUAUAAAAUAUCUUUAAUCCCAUGUAGAAAAAAACAUACCUUUUACGGACACUUCUCGUGGAAUAUUUAAGGACAUAAAAGAAAUAUACAUUCGCUGUCAGCAAUUAGCCAAAGAAACCAAAGAAAGUGAAUAU